rnacentral:misc_RNA from 1 species
GACACGAUUAAUAUAAGUCUCUCAGUGAGGAUAACAAACUUCCCAUCAUGUCUAAGAGCUUUACACACUACUAAUGUUUCUUCUUUGAGCUUAACAUGGUCCUCAGCCUCUCUAAGUACAGAUACUCCAAUUGCUUCUUCCCAACAAUAAGGCCGUAAAGGAAGUUCUCUAUUUAAAUGCCUUGGCAAUCGGACCCUAAAGCGAUGAGAUCCCAGAUUAUGCAGUUUGCUCCGAUUUCUGAUGCUUUGUGCAGUUUUGCCGGUGAUAUCAAGGAUACUGGCUGCUGGUCUUGCCACCAGUCCAGUCACUCCAAGAGCUAUACCUGAGAGAACUCCUGGAAGGCCAUGU